UACGUAGGGUGCAAGCGUUAUCCGGAUUUACUGGGUGUAAAGGGCGAGUAGACGGCAUAGUAAGUCAGAUGUGAAAACUCAGUGCUCAACAUUGAGCGUGCAUCUGAAACUGCUGAGCUAGAGUGCAGGAGAGGAAAACGGAAUUCCUAGUGUAGCGGUGAAAUGCGUAGAUAUUAGGAGGAACACCAGUGGCGAAGGCGGUUUUCUGGACUGUAACUGACGUUGAGGAGCGAAAGUGUGGGGAGCAAAC
rnacentral:rRNA from 1 species